GUGGUUGAGGUAGUACAUUUACUAAAAUUUGGAAUGAUACAGAUUAGAUUAACAUGGCCUCCGUUCCAGAAUGGCAAACAAACUUUUGAAUUGCUCCAUAUUUUA